AUCAAGAUCCUGCUGUCG
rnacentral:misc_RNA from 1 species